rnacentral:lncRNA from 1 species
CUUGUUCGUGAGACAUGAGCCAACUGCCUCCAUCACUGCCCGAUAAGUAAAAUUUUCCUCACUUAACCCAUUGUCUACAAAACUGCUUCCAUUACCUGUAAAUCAAAUAAUACAAUUAAUGAACAAGUCAGACAUAAUUCCUGCUACUAACCAAUGAUUCCUUUCAUACUACAUCCGAAGUUGGGAAUAACAUAUGGUUUUAUUAAAGAUUUUAUUAAAGAUGUCUAUUCAUAAGGAUGAUUUUGUCAUAGAACUAAGCAAUGAAAUUCUGUAGUUAAAACAAGUACGCAGAGCAUCGAAUCCAAGCAAUAUAAUGAAAUUCUGUAGUUGUUUCGAUUUUUAUAUUUCUUAAGAGAAACUGAAAUCAAAAUUAAUAUUAAAACACCAUAAAAUUUAAAAAAACCAGAACCAUUCCUGCCAUAGAAUUCUCAGAACAUAAAUUUACAUGCAAUCUAAUACAAUUUACAAAUGGAAACAUAAAUAACUAGAAGUUACUGAUAUCAGUUCAAAGGUUGGAGUAUAAUUACCGCCAAUUUCAGGGAUAGGCACAGAGACAGAAGAGGACGGCCUUCCAGCAACCAAACUUCCUUCAAUGUAAGAAGAAGACCCUAACGGGCUUCACACAAUGAGAUUCGCCCAUGCCCACCCAUAGUACAAAAUUAUUGGUUGAUUUGGAACUCAGAAAAGUGAGAUCGAGAAUUGAGAGGGAGAAGAUCGAGAAUCGACAGAUUCGAAAGGGAGGACUAAGGAGAGGAGAGUCUUUGUGGCGAUGAGAUCGUCUUCGUGUCGUCGUUGUCUAGGGGGAGAAUAGUGUGGGUGGGAGGAAGGAAGUCUCAAGUCGAGGACUUGAGUGGGAAUCAGUGGACUUGAAGGCGGCGGAUGGACGAAGAAGAAAGGGGACGAAGGAUGACGAGGAAGAAGGGGGACGGAUGAGGGAGUGAAUCAUGGAUAAUGGAUUAGGGUUAGAGACCAUAGUUAGAAACGGGCCAUCCGGGGCCCUGUUUUUCUAUACCCCUAAACCCGGCCCGCCCCUAAAAUUUCAAAACCCCGGCCCGCCCCUCCCCGUUUCACUUAUGAAAAAAUUGGAACCGGCCCGUACCCGUCCCGAACCUUGAUUACCCGCCCCUACCCGCGGUUCCUGUACCCGUUUGCCCAC